rnacentral:other from 1 species
ACAUCCCUGCCCUGUGCGUGUUUUAUAAGAUGAUAUUCCUUGAGCCAACACUCAUUAAAAGGGAGCUGGGAGUUUAUCUCGGCUGCGGCCGUGAUAACAGGCUCCCACCUGGGUUACCGGGUUCAAAGGUUUAUCAUCUACACGGCAGUGGCGGGGAUAAU